rnacentral:rRNA from 1 species
AGUGAACGCCGGCGGUAGGCCUAACACAUGCAAGUCGAACGAACCCUUCGGGGUUAGUGGCGGACGGGUGAGUAACACGUGGGAACGUGCCUUUAGGUUCGGAAUAACUCAGGGAAACUUGUGCUAAUACCGAAUGUGCCCUUCGGGGGAAAGAUUUAUCGCCUUUAGAGCGGCCCGCGUCUGAUUAGCUAGUUGGUGAGGUAAUGGCUCACCAAGGCUACGAUCAGUAGCUGGUCUGAGAGGAUGACCAGCCACAUUGGGACUGAGACACGGCCCAAACUCCUACGGGAGGCAGUAGUGGGGAAUCUUGCGCAAUGGGCGAAAGCCUGACGCAGCCAUGCCGCGUGGAUGAUGAAGGUCUUAGGAUUGUAAAAUCCUUUCACCGGUGAAGAUAAUGACUGUAGCCGGAGAAGAAGCCCCGGCUAACUUCGUGCCAGCCGCCGCAGUAA